AGAGUUUGAUUAUGGCUCAGGACGAACGCUGGCGGCGUGCCUAAUACAUGCAAGUCGAACGCUCUCGACCUUCGGGUCAUAUGAGAGAGUGGCGAACGGGUGCGUAACACGUGAGAAACCUGCCCUGAAGACGGGAAUAACUCGAGGAAACUCGAGCUAAUACCCGAUGCCCUCCUUGGACCGCAUGGUCCGUUGAGGAAAUGCUCCGGCGCUUCAGGAGGGUCUCGCGGCCUAUCAGCUUGUUGGUGAGGUAACGGCUCACCAAGGCAUCGACGGGUAGCUGGUCUGAGAGGACGAUCAGCCACACUGGGACUGAGACACGGCCCAGACUCCUACGGGAGGCAGCAGUAGGGAAUCUUGCGCAAUGGGCGAAAGCCUGACGCAGCAACGCCGCGUGGGGGAUGAAGGCCUUCGGGUUGUAAACCCCUUUCAGCAGGGACGAAAAUGACGGUACCUGCAGAAGAAGCCCCGGCCAACUACGUGCCAGCAGCCGCGGUAACACGUAGGGGGCAAGCGUUGUCCGGAUUUAUUGGGCGUAAAGAGCUCGUAGGCGGCUCGGUAAGUCGGGUGUGAAAUUUCAGGGCUCAACCCUGAAACGCCACCUGAUACUGCCGUGGCUAGAGUUCGGUAGAGGAGCGUGGAAUUCCUGGUGUAGCGGUGAAAUGCGCAGAUAUCAGGAGGAACACCAACGGCGAAGGCAGCGCUCUGGGCCGAUACUGACGCUGAGGAGCGAAAGCAUGGGGAGCAAACAGGAUUAGAUACCCUGGUAGUCCAUGCCGUAAACGUUGGGCACUAGGUGUGGGGCGUAAUCAACGCGUUCCGUGCCGUAGCUAACGCAUUAAGUGCCCCGCCUGGGGAGUACGGCCGCAAGGCUAAAACUCAAAGGAAUUGACGGGGGCCCGCACAAGCGGCGGAGCAUGUUGCUUAAUUCGAGGCAACGCGAAGAACCUUACCUGGGCUUGAAAUCCCGAGAAUCUGAUAGAGAUAGCUGAGUGCCCCUCGGGGAAUGUAGAGACAGGCGCUGCAUGGCUGUCGUCAGCUCGUGUCGUGAGAUGUUGGGUUAAGUCUCGCAACGAGCGCAACCCCUAUCUUUAGUUGCCAGCAUUAAGUUGGGCACUCUAGAGAGACUGCCUGGGUUAACCAGGAGGAAGGUGGGGAUGACGUCAAGUCCUCAUGGCCCUUAUGUCCAGGGCUACACACGUAAUACAAUGGUCGGUACAAAGGGAAGCGAACUCGCGAGGGGGAGCAAAUCUCAAAAAGCCGAUCUCAGUCCGGAUUGAAGUCUGCAACUCGACUUCAUGAAGUUGGAAUCGCUAGUAAUCGCGGAUCAGCACGCCGCGGUGAAUACGUUCCCGGGCCUUGUACACACCGCCCGUCACACCACGGGAGUUGAUCUUACCUGAAGUCGUGGCCCCAACAGCUUGCUGAGGGGAGCGCCUACGGUCGGACCGAUGACUGGGGUGAAGUCGUAACAAGGUAACC
rnacentral:rRNA from 1 species